rnacentral:rRNA from 1 species
GUGGGGAAUAUUGGACAAUGGGGGGAACCCUGAUCCAGCCAUGCCGCGUGUGUGAAGAAGGCCUUUUGGUUGUAAAGCACUUUAAGCGAGGAGGAGGCUACUUAGAUUAAUACUCUAGGAUAGUGGACGUUACUCGCAGAAUAAGCACCGGCUAACUCUGUGCCAGCAGCCGCGGUAAUACAGAGGGUGCAAGCGUUAAUCGGAAUUACUGGGCGUAAAGCGCGCGUAGGUGGUUUUGUAAGUUGGAGGUGAAAUCCCCGGGCUCAACCUGGGAACUGCCUCCAAAACUGCAUGACUAGAGUACGGUAGAGGGUAGUGGAAUUUCCUGUGUAGCGGUGAAAUGCGUAGAGAUCGGGAGGAACAUCCGUGGCGAAGGCGGCCAUCUGGACCAGCACUGACACUGAGGCACGAAAGCGUGGGGAGCAAACAGGAUUAGAAACCCUUGUAGUCC